AUUGAACGCUGGCGGAAUGCUUUACACAUGCAAGUCGAACGGCAGCACGGGGGCAACCCUGGUGGCGAGUGGCGAACGGGUGAGUAAUACAUCGGAACGUGCCCGGUCGUGGGGGAUAACGUAGCGAAAGUCACGCUAAUACCGCAUACGAUCUGAGGAUGAAAGCGGGGGACCUUCGGGCCUCGCGCGAUCGGAGCGGCCGAUGUCAGAUUAGGUAGUUGGUGGGGUAAAGGCCUACCAAGCCGACGAUCUGUAGCUGGUCUGAGAGGACGACCAGCCACACUGGGACUGAGACACGGCCCAGACUCCUACGGGAGGCAGCAGUGGGGAAUUUUGGACAAUGGGCGCAAGCCUGAUCCAGCCAUUCCGCGUGCAGGACGAAGGCCUUCGGGUUGUAAACUGCUUUUGUAUGGAACGAAAAGGCUCUGGCUAAUACCUGGGGCUCAUGACGGUACCGUAAGAAUAAGCACCGGCUAACUACGUG
rnacentral:rRNA from 1 species